GUGAUUUUUCCGGCGACUCUCUCUUUGUUUACUAACGCUGUCUCAAACACAGGUAAUGCUGCUCUUUCUGUUCUUCUGACUACCGGAUUAGAUAUAUGAUAUACUUCUUCCUACAGAUCUUACUGUUGAGAUAACUGCUUGAAGAGUACUGUCACUGACCCUGUUCAAGACAAUAAUCAUGUUAUGGCAACCAUUAAGAUGGACAAGUUGUUAAGCGCCACAAUCAACUAGAAAUGAAGCGAGGUGACCCAAGGGUUGUGGUUGCAACCAGCGUCAACCCCAAGAUUGUGGGAGCCCGUCUGUGUUAGAUUGCCACCACCGGCACACACUUAUACUUUGACAAGGAAACACCUGCAGGAG